rnacentral:rRNA from 1 species
CAGCACCUCAAGUGGUCAGGAUGAUUAUUGGGCCUAAAGCAUCCGUAGCCGGCGCUGUAAGUUUUCGGUUAAAUCUGUACGCUCAACGUACAGGCUGCCGGGAAUACUGCAGCGCUAGGGAGUGGGAGAAGUAGACGGUACUCGGUAGGAAGGGGUAAAAUCCUUUGAUCUAUUGAUGACCACCUGUGGCGAAGGCGGUCUACCAGAACACGUCCGACGGUGAGGGAUGAAAGCUGGGGGAGCAAACCGGAUUAGAGACCCGAGUAGUCC